rnacentral:rRNA from 1 species
AUUGAACGCUGGCGGCAGGCCUAACACAUGCAAGUCGAACGGUAACAGAAAGCAGCUUGCUGCUUUGCUGACGAGUGGCGGACGGGUGAGUAAUGUCUGGGAGACUGCCCGAUGGAGGGGGAUAACUACCGGAAACGGUAGCUAAUACCGCAUAACGUCGCAAGACCAAAGAGGGGGACCCUCGGGCCUCUUGCCAUCGGAUGUGCCCAGAUGGGAUUAGCUAGUAGGUGGGGUAACGGCUCACCUAGGCGACGAUCCCUAGCUGGUCUGAGAGGAUGACCAGCCACACUGGAACUGAGACACGGUCCAGACUCCUACGGGAGGCAGCAGUGGGGAAUAUUGCACAAUGGGCGCAAGCCUGAUGCAGCCAUGCCGCGUGUAUGAAGAAGGCCUUCGGGUUGUAAAGUACUUUCAGCGGGGAGGAAGGGAGUAAAGUUAAUACCUUUGCUCAUUGACGUUACCCGCAGAAGAAGCACCGGCUAACUCCGUGCCAGCAGCCGCGGUAAUACGGAGGGUGCAAGCGUUAAUCGGAAUUACUGGGCGUAAAGCGCACGCAGGCGGUUUGUUAAGUCAGAUGUGAAAUCCCCGGGCUCAACCUGGGAACUGCAUCUGAUACUGGCAAGCUUGAGUCUCGUAGAGGGGGGUAGAAUUCCAGGUGUAGCGGUGAAAUGCGUAGAGAUCUGGAGGAAUACCGGUGGCGAAGGCGGCCCCCUGGACGAAGACUGACGCUCAGGUGCGAAAGCGUGGGGAGCAAACAGG